AUCAUACUAUACGAACUAAAAGAAUAAUGCCAGCACUAGCCCAACCUCUCACUGUGAAGAGAAUGGUCACAUGCAACGAUAAGUUGGGUUGCGACUGUGAUUAAUGUCACAUUUGUUUUUUCCUAUAGUCAUUAUUUUUAUUUUA
rnacentral:rRNA from 1 species